rnacentral:rRNA from 1 species
GACGAACGCUGGCGGCGUGCCUAACACAUGCAAGUCGAACGGAGUUGAAAGGAGCUUGCUUUUUUCAACUCAGUGGCGGACGGGUGAGUAACGCGUGAGUAACCUGCCUUUCAGAGGGGGAUAACGUUCUGAAAAGAACGCUAAUACCGCAUAAGAUUGUAGCUUCGCAUGGAGCAGCAAUCAAAGGAGCAAUCCGCUGAAAGAUGGACUCGCGUCCGAUUAGAUAGUUGGCGGGGUAACGGCCCACCAAGUCGACGAUCGGUAGCCGGACUGAGAGGUUGAUCGGCCACAUUGGGACUGAGACACGGCCCAGACUCCUACGGGAGGCAGCAGUGAGGGAUAUUGGGCAAUGGGGGAAACCCUGACCCAGCAACGCCGCGUGAGGGAUGACGGUUUUCGGAUUGUAAACCUCUGUCCU